rnacentral:lncRNA from 12 species
GCAAUAUUCCUAGUGAUUGUUUUCAAGUUCCAGAGGCUUGGUCUGGGGGAGACAAACCACGCUGGGAUUCAGGGUACUCCUAUACUAUAUCUCUGUUACUCACCAGCUUAUAGAAGCCAUUUAUCCUCCAAAAUUGAGGGAUGAUAACUCCAUUAAUGCAAGAAAGUUAUCCUGUUUGCAUCCAAAGUCAAAUUUCUAAAGAGGAAAUAAAAGCACAAGCAAAACAAAACAACAAGGUCCUGCAUCCCUAGGACCUGAAACUGAGAGCCACAAUCAUCCAGCCCUGUGCCACUGGAGCUACUAUAGCACUAGAAUGGAGCCUGUUAGCUGUAGCCAGUCUAACAGACCACAAACAGUGCCUCAUCCCAUUCUCUUUGGGAGCAUCUACCUAACAGAGAGUGAAAGAAAGAGAAGGUGGAGAACAAGGCUGAUUCAAGGCAAGCCAGCUGUGAUGUGGCCAGCUGAGAGCAGAAAAACUACUCAGAUGAAGCAAAAACAGUUUUUAGAGGAACAAGAUAACUUGAUUUGAAAGCUCAUGUAAAAUAAAAAGGGCCAUGAAGCAUUUUGGAACA